rnacentral:lncRNA from 1 species
AGCGUUGCUAAAGUGUUGAUUAAGUACUCUCAACUGUAGGCUAGAUGAUCCUAGUUCAAGUACUGUUUCCAACGAAAGUAACAAAUGAAAUUCAUAAUUUUCAACCAACUAUAGCAAACCAAAUAUAUGAUGGAAUUUAACAAUCGUUUCAAUUUAAUCAAUAAAAAAACUUAGAUUAGAAAGAUAAAUUAAAAAAAUAAAAGUAUGCCAAAUAAAAAAGUUG